rnacentral:rRNA from 1 species
UACGAAGGGGGCUAGCGUUGCUCGGAAUUACUGGGCGUAAAGCGUGCGUAGACGGUCAUGUAAGUCGGGUGUGAAAGCCCCGGGCUCAACCUGGGAAUUGCAUUCGAGACUGCAUGGCUAGGAUGCGGAAGAGGGAAGCGGAAUUUCCGGUGUAGCGGUGAAAUGCGUAGAUAUCGGAAGGAACACCAGUGGCGAAAAGCGGCUUCCUGGUCCAGCAUCGACGGUUCAGGCACGAAAGCGUGGGGAGCAAACAGG